rnacentral:piRNA from 1 species
CAACAGUUCUGUGACGGAGAUCAUGC